AGACCGGGGGUGCCCGAAAGGGAAUCGGAACACAGGUGCUGCAUGGCUGUCGUCAGCUCGUGUCGUGAGAUGUUGGGUUAAGUCCCGCAACGAGCGCAACCCUUGUCCCUAGUUGCUACGCAAGGGCACUCUAGGGAGACUGCCGGUGACAAACCGGAGGAAGGUGGGGAUGACGUCAAGUCCUCAUGGCCCUUAUGGGUAGGGCUUCACACGUCAUACAAUGGCCGGUACAGAGGGUUGCCAAGGCGCGAGCCGGAGCCAAUCCCCGUAAAAGCCGGUCGUAGUCCGGAUUGCAGUCUGCAACUCGACUGCAUGAAGUCGGAAUCGCUAGUAAUCGCGGAUCAGCAUGUCGCGGUGAAUACGUUCCCGGGUCUUGUACACACCGCCCGUCACACCAUGGGAGUGGGUUCUACCAGAAGUAGGUAGGCUAACCGCAAGGGGGCCGCUUACCACGGUAGGAUUCAUGACUGGGGUGAAGUCGUAACAAGGUAACCGUAA
rnacentral:rRNA from 1 species